CGGGGAGUCCGUCCGGGGGCGGUUCCGCCGCCGCGCUCGGCACACGGCGCCAUGAGGCUGGCCUCUCGCGCGCUCUGCGGCGUCGCCGGGGCCGCCUGGCGGGAGAGCUUCCCCCUGGGCGGGCGGGACGUGGCGCGCUGGUUCCCGGGACACAUGGCCAAGGGGCUGAAGAAGAUGCAGGGCAGCCUGAGGCUGGUGGACUGCGUCAUCGAGGUGCACGACGCCCGGAUCCCACUUUCAGGCCGCAACCCCCUGUUUCAGGAAGCUCUCGGGCUUAAGCCUCACGUGCUGGUCCUCAACAAAAUGGACUUGGCGGAUCUGAAGGAGCAGCAGAAAAUUAUACAACACCUAGAAGAAGAGGGCCUGAAAAAUGUUGUUUUCACCAACUGUGUAAGGGAUGAGAAUAUCCAGCAGGUCAUCCCGAUGGUCAGAGGGCUGGUGGAGAGCAGCCACCGCUAUCACCGCCAGGAGAACCUGGAGUACUGCGCCCUGGUGAUCGGGAUCCCCAACGUGGGCAAGUCCUCCCUCAUCAACGCGCUCAGGAGACAGCACCUCAGGAAAGGAAAAGCUACCAGGGUGGGCGGGGAGCCCGGGAUCACCAGAGCUGUGAUGUCCAGAAUUCAGGUCUGUGAGCGGCCCCUCAUGUUCCUGCUGGACACUCCUGGGGUGCUGGCCCCUCGCAUCCAAAGUGUGGAGAUGGGCCUGAAGCUGGCCCUAUGUGAGCUCACACUGGCCUCCUGGUCCCAGGAACCGUGUUGGACCACCUUGUCGGGGAGGAGACCCUGGCCGACUACCUUCUCUACACCCUCAACAGGCACCAGCUCUUUGGGUACGUGCAGCAUUACGGCCUGGACGGAGCCUGUGAUGACAUCACCCGUGUGCUGAAGCACGUGGCGGUGAGGCUGGGGAAGACCCACAAGGUGAAGGUGCUCACAGGCACAGGAGACGUCAAUGUCAUCCAGCCCAACUACCCCGCGGCAGCCCGCGACUUCCUCCGGACCUUCCGCCACGGGCUGCUGGGCCCAGUGAUGCUGGAUAGGGACGUCCUGCGGAGCUCGUCCCGCGCAGACCCCUGAACUGGUCCCGCUGGCGGGGGCCUCGUGCCCGCCUGGCCCUUGGCACCCGAGAUGUGGGACGUCCCAGAGCUUCACAGCCAAGGACUGGGCGCUGGGAUCCCAGGAGCUCUGCGUGGUCGUUGUAGAGUCCACGCGGGGCCCCACCCAGGAGGGGGCCGGGCCAGCUGCCGCCCACAGGGCCUGCGCCCAGGGCGGCUGACCUCAGGGCUGUCCCUGCCUCGCACACGCCAGGGAUCCCUUCAGGAGACGCUGACGCUUUCUUAGGAGGUCAAAGUACAAUCUGUAAUCUAAACAUUUAAAAGGUC